CCACAGGCGAGAUGAGGAGGGUUAGGGUGGGGCCUGGGUUUCUGGGGUGAUGACUGAGCGAAUGGCAGGACUAUGCACAUUGCCAGAAAACAGGAGGAAGAGCAGGUCUGGAGUAAGCCUCUUCAUGAAAGGAUGUUUUCCAACUGAUAACUACUGGGCCAGAGGAUCCCUUAUACUGUUGUACGUAUUUGGGGUCUGUGAAUCCUUGCCAACAUAGAAGCUGAUGGAGUCUGAGGAAUGACACACACUGAGAAAACCAAGCAUCAUCAUUACAGACACUGUGUGAACUCCCUGCCUGCCACCCACACAGCACAGUCAUGGUUAUGUCCAUGCUUAUGUAGGCCUGGGCUCUGCCUAGCUGCGGGUGAUUUCAUCAGUGGAUGCCGCUCAGUUUGCCCCUGCCUGCUGGCUGGCUCGUCCCCAGCCCCAGGCAUCAGGGUGCCCCAUGGUGGGGCCUGUGUGGCCCUGGCCCUUCUCUGCUGCCCCAGGGCUGUGAAGCCACAGGUCGGCCCCCUCGUUCCUUGAUGCUCUCUGUCCAUUGUCU
rnacentral:lncRNA from 1 species